GCUCUUGUAGCUCAAUUGGUUAGAGUGUUUGUUUAGUUAGCAGAGGUCCUGAAUUCAACUCUUAACAAGAGCA
rnacentral:tRNA from 1 species